CUACGGGACGCUGCAGUGAGGAAUAUUGCACAAUGGACGAAAGUCUGAUGCAGCAACGCCGCGUGGAGGAUGACACAUUUCGGUGCGUAAACUCCUUUUAUAUAGGAAGAUAAUGACGGUACUAUAUGAAUAAGCACCGGCUAACUCCGUGCCAGCAGCCGCGGUAAUACGGAGGGUGCAAGCGUUACUCGGAAUUACUGGGCGUAAAGAGCGUGUAGGCGGGUUUGUAAGUUGGAUGUGAAAUCCUAUGGCUCAACCAUAGAACUGCAUCCAAAACUGCUUACCUAGAAUAUGGGAGAGGUAGAUGGAAUUUCUGGUGUAGGGGUAAAAUCCGUAGAGAUCAGAAGGAAUACCGAUUGCGAAGGCGAUCUACUGGAACAUUAUUGACGCUGAGACGCGAAAGCGUGGGGAGCAAACAGGAUUAGAUACCCUCGUAGUC
rnacentral:rRNA from 1 species